rnacentral:rRNA from 1 species
UGUUUCGGCUAGGGGGCCAUCCCGGCUUACCAACCCGAUGCAAACUGCGAAUACCGGAGAAUGUUAUCACGGGAGACACACGGCGGGUGCUAACGUCCGUCGUGAAGAGGGAAACAACCCAGACCGCCAGCUAAGGUCCCAAAGUCAUGGUUAAGUGGGAAACGAUGUGGGAAGGCCCAGACAGCCAGGAUGUUGGCUUAGAAGCAGCCAUCAUUUAAAGAAAGCGUAAUAGCUCACUGGUCGAGUCGGCCUGCGCGGAAGAUGUAACGGGGCUAAACCAUGCACCGAAGCUGCGGCAGCGAACGUAUCACUUAAAACGAUUCAGAAGCUUACGAUUGACGGAGCGAAGCGACGUCAAAGCGUAUACAAAGUCGAGUCGGUUUAAGGAUACGUUCGUUGGGUAGGGGAGCGUUCUGUAAGCCUGUGAAGGUGGCCUGUGAGGGUUGCUGGAGGUAUCAGAAGUGCGAAUGCUGACAUAAGUAACGAU